rnacentral:rRNA from 1 species
AUUGAACGCUGGCGGCAUGCCUUACACAUGCAAGUCGAACGGCAGCACGGGUGCUUGCACCUGGUGGCGAGUGGCGAACGGGUGAGUAAUACAUCGGAACGUACCUUAUCGUGGGGGAUAACGCAACGAAAGCUGUGCUAAUACCGCAUACGCCCUGAGGGGGAAAGCGGGGGAUCGCAAGACCUCGCGCGAUUAGAGCGGCCGAUGCCUGAUUAGCUUGUUGGUGGGGUAAAAGCCCACCAAGGCGACGAUCAGUAGCUGGUCUGAGAGGACGAUCAGCCACACUGGGACUGAGACACGGCCCAGACUCCUACGGGAGGCAGCAGUGGGGAAUUUGGACAAUGGGGGCAACCCUGAUCCAGCAAUGCCGCGUGAGUGAAGAAGGCCUUCGGGUUGUAAAGCUCUUUUGUCAGGGAAGAAACACCGGCUCUAACACAGUCCGGGAAUGACGGUACCUGAAGAAUAAGCACCGGCUAACUACGUGCCAGCCGCCGCCGUAA